rnacentral:misc_RNA from 1 species
ACACAAAUGGAAGAUAAGCUCCCAAACGCACAGAGGCAUGUGCAAACACACAAUGUGCCUUCUUUUUCUUGGGUGGCCCAACUCCCAAUCCAAACCCCACCCCCCACAAGGAAAAAAGAAAUUUUUUGAUGUAGACUUUCUACAUGUUGAUCUAAUGGAUGAUCCAGAGACUUUAUCUUGUCCAAAGUGAGCAGACGUGAAUCAAAUUUAGA